rnacentral:tRNA from 1 species
AAGGCUUUAGCUUAAGUAAAGUGCCUGGUUUGCAUCCAGAAGAUGUGGAGUGAUAUCCGCAAGUCUUA